UUGCGCAGCAAUGACAUCGUCUCCGUGUACAGUCGACACGAACGUCACCGCGUUGGCGAUCUCCGCCAACGGAGUUCGCCAUGGAGAUCCAAGAAACGAGUUUCGCACCGCUUAGCUCUCGCGAAGGUACAGGAGGUAGCGCCGAUCACUGAGACAUGGGUCUCC